rnacentral:rRNA from 1 species
GAGUUUGAUCGUGGCUCAGAGUGAACGCUGGCGGUAGGCCUAACACAUGCAAGUCGAACGGUAACAGGUCUUUCGGGAUGCUGACGAGUGGCGGACGGGUGAGGAAUACAUCGGAAUCUGCUCAGUCGUGGGGGAUAACGCAUGGAAACGUGCGCUAAUACCGCAUACGACCUUCGGGUGAAAGCAGGGGAAUCUUUAGGGAUCCUUGCGCGAUUGAAUGAGCCGAUGUCGGAUUAGCUAGUUGGUAGGGUAAAAGCCUACCAAGGCGACGAUCCGUAGCUGGUCUGAGAGGAUGAUCAGCCACACUGGGACUGAGACACGGCCCAGACUCCUGCGGGAGGCAGCAGUGGGGAAUAUUGGACAAUGGGGGCAACCCUGAUCCAGCCAUACCGCGUGGGUGAAGAAGGCCUUCUGGGUUGUAAAGCCCUUUUGUUGGGGAAGAAAAACAACGGGUUAAUACCCCGUUGGUAUGACGGUACCCAAAGAAUAAGCACCGGCUAACUUCGUGCCAGCAGCCGCGGUAAUACGAAGGGUGCAAGCGUUACUCGGAAUUACUGGGCGUAAAGGGUGCGUAGGUGGUUGCGCCAGUCUGUCGUGAAAGCCCUGGGCUUAACCUGGGAAUGGCGAUGGAAACUGUGCAACUAGAGAGUGACAGAGGGUGGUGGAAUUCCUGGUGUAGCAGUGAAAUGCGUAGAGAUCAGGAGGAACAUUCGUGGCGAAGGCGGCCACCUGGGUCAACACUGACACUGAGGCACGAAAGCGUGGGGAGCAAACAGGAUUAGAUACCCUGGUAGUCCACGCCCUAAACGAUGCGAACUGGAUGUUGGGUCCAACUUGGGAUUCAGUAUCGAAGCUAACGCGUUAAGUUCGCCGCCUGGGGAGUACGGUCGCAAGACUGAAACUCAAAGGAAUUGACGGGGGCCCGCACAAGCGGUGGAGUAUGUGGUUUAAUUCGAUGCAACGCGCAGAACCUUACCUGGCCUUGACAUGCACGGGAGUCUUUAGAGAUAGAG